rnacentral:misc_RNA from 1 species
AAGUCGUAACAAGGUUUCCGUAGGUGAACCUGCGGAAGGAUCAUUACCAAAUCCAUCCUGUGAAUUCUAACCCCUUGUGUGAAUUGUUUUCUUCUCCUUGGGCUGAAUGGGCUUCUUCCAAUACACACGGACGGCCUUGGUCUUUACACGCUUUAGACGUGGGCCGCCCGUAGUCGGGGUCCGUUUAAUUCAGCCCAAAGUGCAAACACCCAGGUUAACCCCGUUCUUCUCUGCCUCUUGCCUUUGCAAAAGGCCCUAAUGGAAAUACGAAAUACAACUUUUAACGGCGGAUCUCUUGGCUCGC